rnacentral:rRNA from 1 species
GACGAACGCUGGCGGCGUGCUUAACACAUGCAAGUCGAACGGAAAGGCCCUGCUUUUGUGGGGUGCCCGUGUGGCGAACGGGUGAGUAACACGUGAGUAACCUGCCCUAGACGUUGGGAUAACUUCAGGAAACUGGGGCUAAUACCGGAUAGAAGCUCCUGCCGCAUGGUGGGGGUUGGAAAGUUUCGGCGGUUGGGGAUGGACUCGCGGCUCAUCAGCUUGUUGGUGGGGUAGUGGCUUACCAAGGCUUUGACGGGUAGCCGGCCUGCGAGGGUGACCGGCCACAAUAGGACUAAGGUACGGCCCAGACUGCAACGGGAGGCAGCAGUGGGGAGUCUUGCACAAUGAGCGGGAGCCUGAUGCAGCGACGCCGCGUGCGGAAUGACGGCCUUCGGGUUGUGAACCGCUUUCGCCUGUGACGAAGCGUGAGUGACGGUAAUGGGUAAAGAAGCACCGGCUAACUACGUG